UUCUGAUCCAGAUGUAGAAAUCUCAGCAAGUAUGUCUGCCUGUUUGCCACCACGCUCCCCACCAUGAGGACAAUUGAUUCAACCUCUGAAAUAGUUCUAAUCUCACCAGCAGAGGCUUCAUGAAAUAACCUCCCAAGGGCCCUGCCCUUUAUCACCUUCAACAUGCAGGACGGAGCUUGAGCAGUCUGCAGACAGGGUCUUAACUAACUGGCCUUGACCACCCUAUGAUGCUGAAGACGACCUGGAUCUUCUGGUUCUUCUGCCUCCACUGCCUGAGGGCAAAGAUGCCAGGAGCGUGCCACCAGGUGUGAUUUAGGUGGCGCCAAAGAUCAAACCACAGCCUUGUGCACACCAGGCAGGCACUCAACCACUGAGCUAUAUCCUCAGGCUCUUGUUUCUACUCCUGUACUAGAGUAGUGCCUCCAUAGAUGAAAUUAUGUAUUCGGAGCCAUGUUGUUUGGGUUGAUCAUUUUGUUCAAUGGCAAUGCCUUACUCACUAAUUCCCAAAUGAAUGAGUCUUAGCCAAAUGCAGAUUUCAUGGGCUUACAGACCCGUGUAGCACCAGCCCACUUAGAUUCACAGUGUUUUUCAUAUCACAUGCUCUGACUCUCACUACAGGCCUCUUAUAGAAAAACCUCUUAUCUCAUGUAUCAGCUGUGCUUCACAAGGGAGGAAGCUAAAAUCUAGACGCAAAAGCAGCUGUGAAGCCAGAAUGUUAGUCCUCAGACUCUCCUCCUGGCUCUCUACCAAGGAGCCGGGGCUGCUAACUUCACACAGGCAGACUAGUGUUCCUGACUAGUCUGGGUGAAGCAGGCAGUCAGAUACCAUCCUAGAAGUAGAACUGGAGCAAAAUAGCCAAGUAGAUGCUUUUUAAUGACUGGAGACAGAGAUGUUACAUCAAAAAGACCUUCAAGAUCUACAAAAGCCUGAUUCUUACACUGUACCCCAAACCUGAUACUUCUAGGACCUUUGUGUUCAACAGAAAUGCUGGGGAAUGGCUGAGUAGAGAAGAAGCUGGCCCAGCCCAGGAGCUCCCUAAACUAGACAAGCACAG